rnacentral:rRNA from 1 species
UCCAGACUCCUACGGGAGGCAGCAGUGGGGAAUAUUGCACAAUGGGGGGAACCCUGAUGCAGCGACGCCGCGUGGGUGAAGGAGCACCUCGGUGCGUAAAGCCCUAUCGGCAGGGAAGAAACAGACGGUACCUGACUAAGAAGCCCCGGCUAACUACGUGCCAGCAGCCGCGGUAAUACGUAGGGGGCAAGCGUUAUCCGGAUUCACUGGGUGUAAAGGGAGCGUAGACGGCGACGCAAGUCUGGAGUGAAAGCCCGGGGCCCAACCCCGGGACUGCUCUUGGAACUGCGCGGCUGGAGUGCAGGAGGGGCAGGCGGAAUUCCUGGUGUAGCGGUGAAAUGCGUAGAUAUCAGGAGGAACACCGGUGGCGAAGGCGGCCUGCUGGACUGCGACUGACGUUGAGGCCCGAAAGCGUGGGGAGCAAACAGGAUUAGAUACCCCAGUACAU